AUUGAACGCUGGCGGCAUGCCUAAUACAUGCAAGUCGAACGAGUGGCGGACGGGUGUGUAAUGUCUGGGAACCUGCCCGAUGGAGGGGGAUAACUACUGGAACCGGUAGCUAAUACCGCAUACCAUCAGAUGUGCCCAGAUGGGAUUAGCUAGUAGGUGGGGUAACGGCUCACCUAGGCGACGAUCCCUAGCUGGUCUGAGAGGAUGACCAGCCACACUGGAACUGAGACACGGUCCAGACUCCUACGGGAGGCAGCAGUGGGGAAUCGUGCACAAUGGGCGCAAGCCUGAUGCAGCCAGGCCGCGUGUGUGAAGAAGGCCUUAGGGUUGUAAAGCACUUUCAGUGGGGAGGCGUUACCCACAGAAGAAGCACCGGCUAACUCCGUGCCAGUCGCCGCAGUAAUAC
rnacentral:rRNA from 1 species